GACAGAGGGUGCAAACGUUGUUCGGAAUUACUGGGCGUAAAGCGCGUGUAGGCGGCUAUGUAAGUCGGGCGUGAAAUCCCACGGCUCAACCGUGGAAGUGCACCCGAAACUGCGUAGCUAGAGUCCUGGAGAGGAAGGUGGAAUGCUUGGUGUAGAGGUGAAAUUCGUAGAUAUCAAGCGGAACACCGGUGGCGAAGGCGGCCUUACUGGACAGUGACUGACGCUGAGACGCGAAAGCGUGGGGAGCAAACAGG
rnacentral:rRNA from 1 species